rnacentral:snRNA from 1 species
GUGUUUGCUCUGGCAGCACAUAUACUAAAAUUGGAAUGAGGCAGAAAAGAUGAGCAUGGCCUCUGUGCAGUGGGGACAUGCAAAUCGGUGAAGUGGUCCAUAACUUU